UACGUAGGGGGCAAGCGUUGUCCGGAUUUAUUGGGCGUAAAGAGCGUGUAGGCGGUUAGGUAGGUCCGUUGUGAAAUCGCUCGGCUCAACUGGGCGGGGUCAGCGGAUACGGUGUGGCUAGAGCAAGCUAGGGGGCAAUGGAAUUCCCGGUGUAGUGGUGGAAUGCGUAGAUAUUCGGAAGAACACCAGUGGCGAAGGCGGCUCACUGGCCCGGUACUGACGCUGAUGUGCGAAAGCGUGGGGAGCAAACAGG
rnacentral:rRNA from 1 species